AGGUAAGCUACUAAGAGCGAAUGGUGGAUGCCUUGACUGGUAGAGGCGAUGAAGGACGUACUAGACUGCGAUAAGCUAGGUGGAGCUGUCAAGAAGCUUUGAUGCCUAGAUUUCCGAAUGGGGCAACCCAAUGUAUAGAGAUAUACAUUACCAUAAUGGAGCGAACGAGGGGAAUUGAAACAUCUUAGUACCCUCAGGAAAAGAAAUCAAAAGAGAUUGCGUCAGUAGCGGCGAGCGAAAGCGUAAGAGGGCAAACCCAGUGCUUGCACUGGGGGUUGUAGGACUGCAAUGUGCAAGAGGAAAGGUUAGCAGAACACUCUGGAAAGUGUAGCCAUAGAGGGUGAUAGUCCCGUAUGCAAAAACCUAACCUUAGCUAGCAGUAUCCUGAGUAGGGCGGGACACGAGAAAUCCUGUCUGAAGCUGGGUAGACCACUAUCCAACCCUAAAUACUCCUACCAGAUCGAUAGCGAACAAGUACCGUGAGGGAAAGGUGAAAAGAACGGCGGUGAGCCGAGUGAAAUAGAACCUGAAACCAUUUGCUUACAAUCAUUCAGAGCCCUAUGGAGCAAUCCAGGGUGAUGGACUGCCUUUUGCAUAAUGAGCCUGCGAGUUGUGGUGUCUGGCAAGGUUAAGCUAACGCGAAGCCGUAGCGAAAGCGAGUCUGAAUAGGGCGCUAAGUCAGAUGCUGCAGACCCGAAACGAAGUGAUCUAUCCAUGAGCAGGUUGAAGCUAGUGUAAGAACUAGUGGAGGACCGAACCCGCUAGCGUUGAAAAGCUAUGGGAUGACUUGUGGAUAGGGGUGAAAGGCCAAUCAAACUUCGUGAUAGCUGGUUCUCUCCGAAAUAUAUUUAGGUAUAGCGUUGUGUCGUAAUAUAAGGGGGUAGAGCACUGAAUGGGCUAGGGCAUACACCAAUGUACCAAACCCUAUCAAACUCCGAAUACCUUAUAUGUAAUCACAGCAGUCAGGCGGCGAGUGAUAAAAUCCGUCGUCAAGAGGGAAACAACCCAGACUAACAGCUAAGGUCCCCAAAUCUUACUUAAGUGGAAAACGAUGUGAAGUUACUUAAACAACCAGGAGGUUGGCUUAGAAGCAGCCAUCCUUUAAAGAAAGCGUAAUAGCUCACUGGUCUAGUGAUUUUGCGCGGAAAAUAUAACGGGGCUAAAGUAAGUACCGAAGCUUUAGACUUGCACACAA
rnacentral:rRNA from 1 species